GCGACAGUAGCUCAGCCCGGGAGAGCACUCGGCUGAAGACCGAGGUGUCGGGUGUUCAAACCACCCCUGUCGCA
rfam:Candidatus Altiarchaeum sp. CG2_30_32_3053 cg_3.0_sub100_scaffold_373_c, whole genome shotgun sequence.